AUUGAACGCUGGCGGCAGGCCUAACACAUGCAAGUCGGUCGAGCGGCGGACGGGUGAGUAAUGUAUGGGGAUCUGCCUGAUGGCGGGGGAUCACUACUGGAAACGGUCGCUAAUCCCGCAUACCAUCAGAUGAACCCAUAUGGGAUUAGCUAGGAGGUGCGGUAACGGCUUACCUAGGCGACGAUCCCUAGCUGGUCUGAGAGGAUGAUCAGCGACACUGGGACUGAGACACGGCCCAGACUCCUACGUGAGGCAGCAGUGGGGAAUAUUUGACAAUGGGCGCAAGCCUGAUGCAGCCAUGACGCGGGUAUGAAGAAGGCCUUCGGGUUGUAAAGUACUUUCAGUCGGGAGGCGUUACCGACAGAAGAAGCACCGGAUAACUCCGUGCCAGCAGCCGCGGUAAUAC
rnacentral:rRNA from 1 species